UGAGGAAUAUUGGUCAAUGGACGCAAGUCUGAACCAGCCAAGUAGCGUGCAGGAUGACGGCCCUAUGGGUUGUAAACUGCUUUUAUAUGGGGAUAAAGUGGGGAACGUGUUCCCUUUUGCAGGUACCAUAUGAAUAAGGACCGGCUAAUUCCGUGCCAGCAGCCGCGGUAAUACGGAAGGUUCGGGCGUUAUCCGGAUUUAUUGGGUUUAAAGGGAGCGUAGGCCGGUUGGUAAGCGUGUUGUGAAAUGUAGGAGCUCAACUUCUAGAUUGCAGCGCGAACUGUCAGACUUGAGUGCGCACAACGUAGGCGGAAUUCAUGGUGUAGCGGUGAAAGGCUUAGAUAUCAGGAGGAACACCGGUGGCGAAGGCGGGUCUCUGGGCCGUUACUGACGCUGAGGAGCGAAAGCGUGGGGAGCGAACAGG
rnacentral:rRNA from 1 species